rnacentral:ncRNA from 2 species
CUCCGACAAGAUCGCGCCGGUGCCCGUAAGGGCUUGAAUGGGAACGCGGUGAGGGAAGGGCGACCUUCCCGAAUCCGGGGCUGUCCCUGCAACUGUAAGCGGCGAGCGCGAUGCACAGGCUUCCCGUCAUGGGAAGCAGCCACUGGGCCGGCCGCUCCGAGGAGCGCGACGCCUGGGAAGGCGUGCAUCGAGCCGUGACCCGCGAGCCAGGAGACCUGCCGGCGCAGGGUCGCUCUU